rnacentral:rRNA from 1 species
UACGAGGGGGGCAAGCGUUGUUCGGAAUUAUUGGGCGUAAAGGGCGCGUAGGCGGUUUGACAAGUCUCAUGUGAAAUCUAUGGGCUCAACCCAUAGCCUGCAUUAGAAACUGUCGGGCUUGAGUAUGGGAGAGGUGAGUGGAAUUUCCGGUGUAGCGGUGAAAUGCGUAGAUAUCGGAAGGAACACCUGUGGCGAAAGCGGCUCACUGGACCAUAACUGACGCUGAGGCGCGAAAGCUAGGGGAGCAAACAGG